UGCCAGUGCGUAAAAAUGCGCGCUUAUGGUCCUUGGCAUCGCCGCGCGUAAUCUCUCUCUGAGCGACUGACAAGGCAUGUCGCCCUGACAAGCUGUUGCUGCUGGCGUCGCCUGCUGCUUCUGGGCGUCGCCUGCUGCUGCUGCUGGUGGUGGUGGUGGUCCGCAUCACCGCCUGUUGCUGCUGCUCCAUGCUACUAGUCCGGCUCCUCUGCUGAAAGGACAUGAAAGUUGUCUGGUCUUCCUCGUGAACUAUGAUUACAAGGUCAAAAUCAACCGCACCAUACUCAUCUAUUGGCAAGUUCAAAUCAAACCCUAUCCAAAAAGGAAACAGAAAAAUAAGGAAAGAUGGACCUAGCUUGAAGCAAACAACAAAAUCAAACAAGGAGACACAUUACCGUAAUCAUCUUCUUCUAAGCCAACGUUCAGAUCAAAUAUGUUAUUAUCAUCUUCUAAGCGAACAUUCAAAUCUUGGAUCAGCCAACAUUGCAUGCGGUACAUGCAAAGAGAAGAGAGGGAAGUGCGGAGAUGAAGUACGAUUAUGGAAAGAGAAGAGGUUGAGGAGAGACUGCAUAUUAAUAGCCACGGUGGAACUCAAACGACGAAGUAAUAGAGCGCUAAAUUUGGAAUAUAGUGGCGCCACUGCAAAAAAGCAUUUGCCUAUGAAAACAAAGCGAAAACAUGGCCAAAUGUGCAAAUCCCGCGCCAUGCAGCCUGUACCAGGUAACAAAAAGCCAUGAUGCACUAGCCAUCUGGACUAGAGAACUUUCUCGUAUACAACACACCCACAACCCUAUUUUAUAGGGGUAUAUAUGAAAAAUACUAUGUCUCCUUGGUAACCAUAAUCUUAUCCUAAACGCUAUUUAAUCAAGGUAUGGACGAUAUGUGUUGGAGGCAGAUAUAGCGCGUGCAUACUCGGAAGCAUGCGAUCCCAGCCCUGCACACGAGAACCCCAUGUGAUCCACUUCCCCAUGUAGUAGACCAGUGCAUGCACCCCGACAAGCGAUGGGCCUUGUUCGUUUGACUGAUAAGUCAUGACAGAAAGUAUUGGUGGCUGAUUUGUUGUGAGAGAAAAACACUGCUGAAUGGUCGUUGCCUGCGUGUGCUCCAAGCAGCAUACAAACCAAGAAAAAAUAAAAAUACUUCCUAUUUUAUUUGAAUUGCUAUAGAUUUAGAUGGUGUAUCUAUUUUUAAUUCCGUAUGUAUCAUCACGUUCUACGUAAUGAAACAAACAAAAGUAGACCUAUCACUUGUCUAUAUCUCAAAAAAAUUAUUUUAGUAAUAAUUUAUAUAUAAAUAUGUGUUAGGAGAUUUAUCAAAAGAAUUAUUACAAUAUAAUAUUAAAGUUGUUACUGAAAAUAUAAUGAUUUUUUUAUAUAACAUAUGCAUAUCGAUUGUUAUCGGAGGAAUAUAAUAAAAUUGUUAUAUAGUAUUUACAUAAAGAUAGUAAAAAAUUAUUAAAGGGAAUAGCGGUCUAGAACAAGUCAAGUUGCUAUUUGAAGGUGCAAAUUAUUAAAAUAAGCAUUAUGUAAGCUGUCAACUAGGGACAAGUUAUUGUACAACAUAUUAUAAAAGUCACGAAACAUAACUUGCUGCCAACUAGAGACAUUUAUUGAAAAGCAAGGGUAGCGAUAAAAAAAAAGACAAGUUGUAAUCUGAGGGUAAAUUAAUAGAACCAACAUUGCGUAAGCUGCCAACUAGAGGCAAGUUAUUAUAUAACUUACAAAGUUGUAGUAAGUUAUAUAAUAGUUAUAAAGUUGUAGCAAGUUAUAUUUAUUGUGUGCGGCAAGUCUAAUUACAAAGUUGUAGCUAGUUAUAUUAUAUUUAUUGUGUGUGGCAAGUUUAAUUACAAAGUUAUAUCAAAUUAUAUUUAUUUGUGUGAUAAAUAGAAACUAAAACACUGAAAUAGGUACCAAAAUAAUAAAAACAAAAAAAUAGACCGAAUCUUUGAAAUAGAAAAUGAAACAUUGAAAUAGCUACCAGAUAAUGAAACUGAAAAAUGAAAUAGCUACCAAAAAAUUAAAAAUGAAAAACUAAAACUAAAACAAUAAGAUUGAAUCCUUAAAACAAAAUAAAAAACUGAAAAAACUGAAAUUACUAAUUGAAGUUGUAGACUGAAAUUGCUAACUAAAAUAACAAACUGAUUAAGAACUGAAAUGGCAAAAUGAAAAUAGAAACUGAAAUUACUAAUUGAAAUCUAUAUACCAUCGAUCACGUGUUGUAUGUCUAAUUCUUUCCAGUAUAGCAAAUACUUAAAAAAAAUAGACAUCUUCUUGAAUAUGUCCCCUUCUGAUGCCUUGACAUCCUUUAUUUUCUUUUCAUCUUUGGUCUUCUUCCCAAAAACAAAUGUGACUUUGCUGACUACAAAUUGAACUUUUCAAACUAAGUCACAUGAAAAGAGAAAUGUAUGUUGUAAAUCGUGAUGAGUUUUACAACUUUGAUGUUUACAACAUUUUUAUUUUAGGCCUUUUUGUCUUAAAAUUCAAUUCGAAGUUCACAUCUUGUCCAAAAAAACAAAGUUCACAAAUUCAAAAUUUUUAAGUAUAUUUGUGUAAAAAAUGUAUAUCAGCAAGUUGUUUUUAUGUGUACGGGCAAAUAUAUCAAAUUAUUUUUAACACAUUUAUAAAAAUUAUGCAAAACUAAAGAGAACAAAAAGAACACUAGUCGUUCACUGUACUGCAAUUUUAGUGGCAACAGUAGUGCUCCCGUGUGUGUGUAUAUAUAUAUAUAUACACGACAGCGCUAUUCUACACCCUAGGUGUAGAAUAUUAUUCUACACCGCAAGUCAAAACUGAGUAGUACUGAACAACGUUCAGUAUCAUUCAGUGGUACACCCAGGACCACGAAUAACCCUGGGCAAAUUACCCGAUACCCAUUACCCGUAUCCGAAUUACCCGGAUCCGAACCCGAAUUACCCGAACCCGAGGUACCCGAUCCUAAAUUCGGAUAGCGAUUUUGAUUACCCGAAAUUAGUUUGGGUAAUUCGGGUAAUAUCUCCCGGUACCCGAACUACCCGAACUACCCGAAUUACCCGAAUAUUUGUCUUUAUCUUUAUAUAUAUCAUGUGUUGUUAGCUAAAUAUUAGAACUUAUCAAUUUAAUAGAACAUAAUUCUCUUUGUUUGAACAAGUGCUAGUAAUAUAUUAUUCUCUACAAAAUGCUAUUGAAAUUAUAUAUAAAUUGCUGCUGAAAUUAUAUAUAAAUUGCUAUUGAACUUUUGUGUAGUGUGUUGUUUUUUGAAAAUUCGGGUAAAUCGGGAAUACCCGAACCCGAACCCGAAUUAUCGGGUACCUGAAAUUGCGGGUAGUGUCUUUUCGGGACUAAUAUCGGGUAACAAUUUUUAUUACCCGAAUUUUGAAUUACCCGACCCGAAAAAAUCGGGUAACCCGAAUGCCCAGGCUUAACCACGAAAUACUGAACAAUACUGAAACAUGACUACUCAACAAAUACUGAAUUCUGUUCAGUAUAACAGUUUGGUGUAGAAUAGUAUUCUACACCUAGGGUAUAACGGGAUCGGACAUGUGACACCUAGGAUAUAUAUAGUAUUCUGUUCAGUAUAACAAAUAUAUAUUCUAUUCCUAGCCGAUCGGACAUGUGACACAUAUUUGCCUAUUUUCUUGAGGAUAUACGAAUGUCUAUGUCAACACUGCAUUUUUGUAAGGUCCAUGUCUAUGGGAUCUAAAUGGUAUAACGCGAGGUACUUUUACAACUAAUAACUUGGGCGGUUUGUCCAUAAACAUUUAAUCACUAUACUUCACUAGUUGUUGUUGUUUUUCCCCUACGGAAAAAGGUGACCUUGUGAAACGUGGUAUUAUGCCUUUGAAGGAUGGUCGCGUCUAUAAUAUGGCACAUUAUAAAGUCAUUGCAUUCACAUGCCUAAUCGAAGAACCCUGGAUCAGUAACUUGACAGAUUGACCAUUGACCUCUUGUGGUUUUCCAGGCAUAAUGGUGACCUUGUCAAUCCUGAUGACAAAUAAAUAGAUUACAGCCCUAAAUUGAACGAUACGUCUAGUAGAUUACUUUUCAUGUUUCACAUUCACUCUUAAAAGUUAACUACAUUUGAUUCAUUUUUUGUUUUGUGAGCAUAUAACACUGCAUAUUAGGCUUCACUAUCAUAUUGUUUGUCUAUUUUACAGCAUAAAUGCUCAAGCAAGGUUGUGACAACUGACAGCCAAGGCAUAGAUCAGCGUUACGCAAAAGAAAUGGAAAGAAACAUGCUGCUUUGGCCAAGAUAUUCUUCGAUCCUUGAUCCAUGCGUGCACUAAAAUUACACACUAAUUUGACGAGAACAAAGCACAUUGAUAGCAGCGAGUAGAGAAACUUGAUCGUGCUACUCCUAGUUAGUUAAUAACGGUAUCUAAAACUAGGAGUCAUAGCAAGCGAAGGUUGCAUCAUAUUCAUAUCAACAAGUGGCGAUUCAUCUUUAAGAAUUCAGAAUGCACAUAUCCCCUUGAGAUGCUUUCAGAUCCAUCAGUCACAAUGCUCAAAAUCAGCAGCAUGUUCAACCAUUAGUGGACGAUAACAAGAUCAGUUCGGAUGGCCUAAGACCACAUAGAACAAUAGCAGUCGGUCCAGGGCAAUGCCCCUGUGGACACUAUCACUGAAAGGUUCACAUGGUUCAUGGCAUCCACAGAAUCAACAGAUAGAAAAAAGGACGUCUGAUUACGCACAACCUUUGGCCCAAAUGUACCAUUUGUACACCUUCGAUUCCAAUACCUGACAGCCUCCAAGUCAUUGGAUCUAGACAAAUCUAGUCUUGCCACCCUUGUCAUGCUUCUUCACCUGUUAUCAAUUACAAUAAUGUCAAGCUUCCAUGGAGGAAUAGCAAUGAUGAUAAAUAUGGACUAUAUCAUGAUUGCGGGUGCAGGAAGCAAGUGCCUGCUUACCACUUUGAAUGUUGACUGCAGCUUGCUUAGCUCGACGGGGCAUUCUCCCUUCUCAUCAUACUCAGAAAAUUCACCUUCAGAGCAGUCAAUUUCGAAAGGAGUCCCAUGCACCUUAAAAAAGAUGGCAAACUGUUAGCACAUCACACAAAUGAAAACUAAACAAUUGUGAGAGUACAUGCAGAACUAGCAAUAAACUAAAUUCCGCUAAAAGAUGGUUUAAAAGCAAACUCCCAAUUGUUGAAAAGGUGAAACUUUCUAGAUUUGGAAAAAGCAAUUUAAAACAAUAGACUUGUUACUGUGAAAGAAAUAAAAAACAUUUCAUUUCUUCUUGGAGAGAGAAGACAGCCAAUCAGUGUGUGGACUAUGAACAUAAAGAAUUGGUGUGUCCACUUAAAGAACAAGUACAUUUGUAGGUCAGAUGCCAUACAAGCUAUAAACACAUGGGAAACCCUAUGCCACUUCAAAAUAAAAGCACAUAUACACUUCUAUGCUUAAGUAAUGCACAAUGUGAAAACAGAUACAAACACAUGGGAAACCUUAUGCCACUUCAAAAUAAAGCACAUAUACACUUCUAUGCUUAAGUAAUGCACAAUGUGAAAAUAGAUAACUGUAAUAUACACUUGUGUUAAGUAAUGAUGUGAGAACAAAUAAUUGAAACAGAGUUAUGCCAUACAUGGAAAAUGGAGUACUGAAUAUAACAAACCAAGCACACAGAAAUGACAUAAUAAGGUGAGAUCACAUAGAAUAGAAUACCAGAAAGAGCUCAUUUCUAGAUUGAGUGAAUAACUUUGAAAAUAUUAAUUAUUUACAACUAAUGUGUUGGUUUUGUAUAUGUAAGCAGUCAUUAACAUUCAUGAUAUAAGAUCAAGAAAAAACAUACAGAUUCAGCUUUCCAGCCAGCGCCAAAAGAAAACUCAACAGGUUCAUAGCCUCUGCAGUCAAACACCAUCAAACAAGUCUUCUCUUCUUUCUGGCUCUGCUCAAUAGUAAGUGGCGUCCCCUGACCAGGAAUCAUCACAAUUGUUCCAUCUCUCCCACAAAGCUUGCACUGAGAGAAGACAAACACAUCAUACACAGGAGGACAUCAGGACAUACCUUAUAUGGUACAACAAAAUAUACAAAGUCGAUACACUAUUACUGAAACAGUUUGUUUUCUCCUUUACGCCUUUAACAACCUCAUGGAAAAAUUAAACAAAGAACCUAAGAAUAUGGAUUGAAACAAGUUUUUCCUCCUUUAUGCCUUUGUUAGAAACCUCAAGGAAAAAAUUCAGAUAAAGAACCUCGAGAUACCAAAUUGAUUAUUGGACAGAAAGUCAUUCAGAAAGUUGUUACCGCUAAUCAACUAAUGAUGUGGAUUGCUAGAAUAAAUAGGCUAUUUUGAACAAAAAAGUAAGGAUCCUACAUAUACUGUCAAGGCACAAGAUAAGAAAUUCUUAAGCUUCCAGGUCCAAAAUGGCAUUAUGAGGUCUGGCACAUAUUAUGUGCAUACAUAACUACAGCAAUAGAAAGGUGCACAGUACCACGAAAGAGUGCUGAAACUAGUUGUUUGCAUUUGAUCAGUAAAUAAUAUAAAAUAAUUGGAAAAUUGAAAUUGGAAAAAAGUUCUUUUAGCCUUAAAAAUGGGACCAUUUACAUCCGGUCACAUUGGAUGUCCAUAGUCUUUACACACAAUAAAAGUUUUAUGCAAAACGUUCAUGGUAGUACAUAUUCAUCUUGAUGCCAUAUGAUAAACCUCAAGUAAGGAGACAUAACAAUCAUAUUCAUAUAUAUAAGUGCACAACACAGAGAUGAUAAGACAUAAUUAUUGACUUCUUACACUUAAUUUAGGUAGAACAGAAAACUAUUUUUCUACCAUGGAUAUAAGGAAGACAAUAGUACAGAACAUGAGCAUAAUAGACAAAAUAACUGCAUUAGAUGCCUACACAAGGUCAAAAUGGAUAGUGAGGUGUUUUCCCAUCAUGAGUAGUGGCAAAGGCACCUUGUUUCCUAUGGUUAAAUGGUGGACACUAGACUUUUGCAUCAUAAGAUUUUUUAAGUGUAGAAUAUUUAAAUAAAGGUAGAAAGAACCUCAUGGCGGAUUAAUAAACUAUAUUAUCACAAAAGAACCAACAAUGGAAAAAUCAUCACCCUGCCAAUGAUCACAAUUCAGAAGACAACAAAUCAUAUUAACAAAAAAGAAACCCCAUUACUUGUGAAUUCAAAAGCAUAUAUUAUAUUUUCAUGGGCAACCUAGUUUGCAAAAUAGCAUGACCCUUGAGAAGGAACAAAUGAACAAUCCUCUGUUGUUACCUUUUUACGCAAAUAUGACUCCCAUCCACCCAAUUCAAUCCCCAUUUUAAUAAUGAAAUCAGCACUCCUCAUAGAAUCCAAUCCCAGCCUACUAAAUAAAUAACAUAAAAGAAGGAAAUCCAGAAGAGUAAAGGAAUCUCAACGAACUACAUCAUCAGUCAUCUCAUUUGCUGUCCUCGUACAAUGCAAGUUCAUCAAACAACCGAAUAAAAAGUCAGCUGAUAUCGAUUAUCAUCAGCAACACUAACAACCACUGCGUAUUCAUCAAUCAUACAAAAAGCACAGGAAAACCACCUUUCCUCUAAAAAAAUGCAUUUCUUGCUCACUUAAAACAAUAUUAUACUUAGAACACUAAACAGAGUUUACCAUUGUAUACAAAUAUAACUCCCCACACCCAACUUUACUUUUAACCAUGGAAAGAAAAAUUGUUCACCAAAUCCAUUCUAAACAAAGGCAAAUGGAUGUAUGCAGAAAUGAGCCUCCAUCUACCACAGCAAUAAAAGUGUCUCGUACUAAACAUCUAAACUAGCAGCCCCUUAUAGACAUACUAACAAGCUGAUUGAUCCAUCUUCCAUACUAACAAACACUCCUUCCUCACAGGCCAGUCUCAUCAAGCAUACCAACAUCACUGCAGAGGGAAGCCGAAUCCAUCCGGCCACAGAGGUAUGCGGAGGAGGAAGGUGAUGUUUGCAAGGGUACCUUCUGGACGAGGUGAGCGGUGCCGUGUCCUUUGGGCAGGUCGACUUGCUCGCUGAGGGUGACGUAGGUGGACUUGGCGGUGACCUCCCCGCAGUUCUCGCACUUGAGCUGCGAUCCGGCACAGAGAAACGAGCGAGCAAACCCCGAUCAGCGCCUUGCGCGAUCGAUAUGAGGGGAACCGGUAGUCCGGAGCCGAUCGAGCCAAAGGAGAAGAAGGGAAUGGGGACACGGACCUUGAGGUAGUAGGGGAAGUUGGGGUCGUCGCAGCCGCGGCGGGGCUGCAGGUUGGUGAGGCCGUCCAGCUCCGCGCCCACCAACAGCGCGUAGUACACCAUCUCCGCCGCCGCCUGCUUGCUAGGGUUAGGGCUCCGGGAUCCGGCUUUGGUCCGACGCCGACAACGGAGACGACGAGGAGGGAGGGGAAUGGGGGUUUUGGCUUCGCUUCGCUUCGCCUCGCGGCGUUAGGAACGGAAUACUACGGAGGAGGACGAAAGAGUGCUUGUGCUGUGCGCUGCCGUCACCGUUUGGACGAGAAUGACCCUAGAGUUCGCGCGUGGAUUGCGGGACCUGGGAGGGUAAUUUAGUCAUUAGAUACUGGCUGAGUGGCCCCUGGGGCCUGCGACUGCGAAUCAGAUUCGACGGGAUUUCCAACUCCUACGGCCCGUUUCGUUGGGCAGAAAUUCUGAUUCGACGGGAUUUCCAACUCCUACGGCCCGUUUCGUUGGGCAGAAAUUCAUUUUAGGCUUUGUUUGGAUGUAGUUGGAUUCGCAUCAAUCCACAUGUAUUGGGGUGGAUUGGAGUGGAACUUGAACUAAAUUCCACCCCAAUCCACUCCAACACAUGUGGAUUGAGGUGAAUCCGACAACAUCCAAACAAGGCCUUAGUUUAGUUGAAUGUAGUCGGAUUCGCAUCAAUCCAUAUGUGUUAUACUAAUCUACUUCAAUACAUGUGGAUUCAGAUGAAUCCAACAACAUCUAAACAAGGCUUCGUAAACAAAUCAGUAUUCAUAAACCAAACACGAGCUCACCCAGUUCACUUGUUAAGCCGUACUUUCUCGGUAGCCAACAAUAUUUUUCUCUCAUAACAAAUAAGUGAAUAAUAUUUUUAACUAUAAUUUUUUAGAUCAGCAAACACACCAAGAGUCCUUCUGACUUUUGAAUUUUGAUUUUUUAUGAUGCUAGGUUCGAGCAAAAAGCUCCUGUCCUAGCGAUUAGCGAAGCGACGGAAACAAAAACAAGCAGGAAUCCAGCCGUCCACUAUGAACAAAAAUGGGCAUGGGAGGACAACGCAGUAAGCGCAUGGUAUGGCAAUGAAAUCUUGACGCAACGGCUAUUAUGGAAAUCAUCUUGUAUCAGUCAUGACAGCAUCCCAACCGUCCGUUUUGCAUAAUUUGUUUGGCAAAUGAGGAAGUUUAUCAUUAAUCACUUGGCAAAAAAGAAAAUUAUGGACCCACACAAUUUUUUUGCCGAGCUUUUAUCCUCCCUGCGCGUCGGGUGAAUAUUCGCGGCAAAUUUAUUUUGCCGAGGCGCUAAGGCCGCGGCGUUUGUGCAUAGCCGCUCGGAGUUUGGUAGCUGGAGUCUUUGCUAGCAAAAACGAUCCGAAGAGCAUCGAUGGAGUACCUGGCGUUGAUGGAAGACCGAUAGGCAAAACACAAACAAUUGAGAGGGCAUCGAUGGAGUACCUGGCGUUGAUGGAAGAUCGAUAGGCAGUUCGCAUGAAAGUCUGGCGGCGGGAUGUCGCUAAACUCGCGCGACCUCAACCUGUAGCCGCGCACGGACUUCGCGCCAGUUUCCCAAUACCAAGUGUGAACAUGUUUGGCAUAUAUGUCAAUCAUUCCUCUCUUUUUGCCAAGUUAACAAAAUUGCAAACUUCAAAUACCAAACCGUCAGAUAGGUGUUUUUAAGACUUUUUUUUGCAAAUACAUGAAUGCAAAGCCUAUUUGCAAAACGGUUGGAUGCUCUUAUGCAGCCCAGAUGGCCAGAUAACACCAAGGAUGAACCAAACUUCCAGAAACUUGAGGAUCGUAAAUCCAAUGGACCUUCCAACAAACGAAACGAAAACAAAUCUUCUGGCAUGGUUUGGCCACUCUAACAGAGCAUCUUCCAGGGCUGCACUGCGCACAGUCGAAUCCUAAAUUCUGAUGCUCCAUCAAAGCAAUCAAACAAAGCAUCAACUAAGCAUAUAAUAGUGGAUCACAUAGAAGCUAAUACCACGGUGACGCAGAAGGUGAAAUGCUUGGGCACCAUCAAAUCACUCUCUACCUUGUCCCACUGUGCUACAUUUCAGCUAAAGAUAUGAAAUGCUUGCGAUCGCAAUUUAUGACACAUUAGCAUCUGAUGAAAUACCAUCAAGAACAUCAUUUUCACGCCGUAAGCAACACCAUCCUAAACGCUGUCUCCAUAUAACUAACCAUUUGGACACCAUUUCUGACUGGUGGAACUAAGCAAGAGAGCAACACAACACAAAAAUCAGAUCAAGAGUGAAGUUCACAGUAAUUCACAUAGUAAGUGUGUGUCUAUCAGCUCCGAAAGCACACUCUCAUGAAAGGGCAAAGAUCAAACUUCAUUGAAUAAGUCAUAAGUGAACACCACCACCAUCCAAGUCUUAUGUUCAAUGAUUUUGAGCUAAAACCUAAUCAGCCAUAACAUGAUAAGAAUAAGAAGACACAGUGCAACUCGUCUGAGCUUGCAAACAGCCAACUAUAUGUGCUAGAAUAAGCUCUAUCCAUAGGCACGCUGCUAGAGGGGGCCAAGAUGGCCAGAUCACAGUUCCAACAGGCAAAAUCUUAUCGCCGAUGAGCUGCACUCCAGUCACGAUCGCAAAUUCGCAAUAAACUAGACCGAAAGUUGGCAUAGAUUUUGUAAUAAGGUGUUGUAUCAAUCAACCCAUCAGAAGCAAAAUAAGUCCCAUACUCCCAUCCUGUUCUGCUCACAUCAGUUGGGGCGGCCUGCACGGAGGGACCGGAGGCGGUCGAGCCACUGGUCCUCGGGGACGCUGCCCGCCCACGCCGGCGGCGCGCCGGGGAACUCGACGCCGCGCAUCGCGUCCACGAUCCGCGCCGCGGCUCCCGCGGGCAGCGGGGCGCGGCGGCGACGCUCGUCCUCGGAGAAGGCCCGCGCCGCCGCCUCCCCGGGCCGCAGGUCUCCGUCCUCAUCCUCCGCCUCCGCGUCUUCCGCGGCUUCGUCCUCGUCGGACACGAGAUCCAGCGCGGAGAUGCCGUUUCCUGCCUCGUCGAGGCGGUGGUGGGGCACGGCGGCGUCGAGGUCGGGGUCGGAUUCGGAGUCGGAAACGGCGCCGGCGAUUGGGCGGUAGUCGGACUCCGGCUCGCCGUCGGAGUCAGAGGCCGAGGAGUGAUCGGGGAGGGAAGCGGAGGCGGGAAGGUGCCCGUUGCCGGGGAUGGACAUGGCUGCAGGCUGCCGCCGGGAGGCGACGGGGAGGAGGAAAGCCAAGUGGGUCUACUAGCGUCAAGCGCUUGGGUUGUUUGGGUCCUACCCUCCGCAAUCCCAUUCUGGUGUUGAUGGGCCGAUGGCGGAUUUUGUACGGAAACGGCGAGCCACGGGCCACGGCUCAACCCAACGUCCUUUCGAAUAAAAAAAUAGGAAAAAAAUUAACAUUACCUUUCUCUAUUUUUGCCAAAGUCUAUUUUUUUUUCUCUAAGCUCUAAAAUCGGAUAAACCACCUCUCUCAACUUUAAAACCAUUCAUUUAACCUCCCUCACCGAUUAUAAGCGGUUUGUAAAGAUAGUUUUGUUUUUUUAUUUCGAUUGAAUCUUUGAGAAAUCAUAGUAAAUCAGAGAAAAAUUAUAAAAUAAAAAACCUAAAUUUAUUGGACUCCACACGAGCAGAUCUAUAUGUGAACAUAUAAUAUGUUAUGUUUUAGUAUAAUAUUUUUUGUCGUACCUUUAGAUCUAUGCUUUGUUGUAAUUAAUGCAUAGCCGUAGUUUCUAUAGUUCAAUUGUGGUGAAAUUUUUAUGAUGGGCUAACUAUUGUAUGCUUAAACUACAGUAAAAAUUUCAUAUUCAUCGGAUCAUAAAUAAUUUAGUUAUCAUCCAAUGACUAUAAAAUUUUUACUGGAGUUCAAGCUAACUAAGUUAUACAUGAUCCAAUAAAUAUGAUUUUUUUACUGUAGUUCAAGCAUACAAUUAUUAGUCUAUCAUAAAAAAUUUAUCACAAUUGAAUUGUAGAAAUUGCAAUUAUAAAUUAAUUCUCUCAUUCAUCAAUUGCACAGGUGUAGAUGUCGGAUGUGAAAAUGCCAAGUACAACUGGUAUAGAUGGGACUGUACAAAUUCUGGAAGAAAAAAAUAUAUAUUACAUUUAUUUGUUCCAACACAUUGAGAGCAUAACCUAUGCAAGCAUGGACCUAUUAUUGAGGUCGAUGGAAGCCAGUAAGAGGCUACGCAGGCUCGCUUACUAGCUUUGAGCUUGGCUGCACGGUCGUGGCUGGGUGGGAUCCACUUAGAGCAAGUAUUAUAGUAGGCUGUAAGCUGGCUAGAUGCUGAGGUGGAGGAGAGAAGAGAGGAGAGAGAAGAGAAGCGGGCUGUAAGCUUACAGCCAGCCUGGGCACAGGAACCAAGAAACUUUGUGAGAGAGACAAGUGGGCCAUGUAUUAAUAGUGAAUAGCUAACUAUUGUAUGGAUGGGCUGGAAGAAGGCUGCAAGGAACCUUACAGCCAGCAAGUGGGCUGUAUUAUUAAACUUGCUCUUAGUCCAUCUCUUUCAACCUGUGGGCGGUGCAUGGAGUCGUGUGCGCAAGUCGAACCACGGAGUCGCAAUCUCGAACAGGGCGAACAAUUGAUUCAUGGAGCUACGCUUAGGCCAUUCUUAAUGGGAGUUUCAUGACACAGUUUCUAACACAUCAAUAUUUUGGAAACAGUGCAUAGGAGUUUCAUGGGGAUGAAACUCUCUCUACUUCCAUAAAACUCUUAUCAUCUCUCUCUUCAUUAAUAUAGCGCCACAUCAGCAUAUUUAAUGUGCAUGAAACUCUAAUGAAACCCCCAUUGAGACUGGCCUUAGCUUGUAGUGUGAGCCUCUACCACUAUCAUAGUGCUAGGGCCAGAGUUUGAGUGAGGCUUCGGCAUCAAUGGCCGAUGGUAGGGUUCAUCUAUGGUGCCCUGGCCACCUGCAAGAGAAGAGCCUCCGGUGUCCAUGGCUGAUGGUGGCGGUCCAUCCGUGGUGACCUAGGCACCUGCGAGAGAGAGAGCCUCUGGCAUCCAUGGCUGAUGGAGAAUUUUUUAUUUUUAACUCAAAUUGAAAACAUAUUUCAAAUUUGAUCCGGUUUCGAAAAUAUUUUUAAGACUAACCCGUUUGGCCCCGCCACCAUACAUGGCGAGUCAAAUGAACUGUACCCCGCCAUGCAUGGCGGCGGGGUACAACUGCCACGUGGCAUGCAGCACCAGGAGCUGCUGACGUGUACCCCACCAUAGAUCAUGGCGGGUUAGGCGUACCCCGCCACCCAUCAUGGCGGGGUAGGACCUUUCACCGUCACUUACUUGCCAUGCAUGUUUAAUUAGUUUUUGUUGGCCUCCAGCUAAUAACUCUUGGAAAAUUCUUGACUGGUACAGAGCUUAUUGCCCAAGAGGUGCAGCUUUAGAUUUGCUGGAAUUCUUAGGCUUGGGCUAAGGCCUUGUUUAGUUUUCAAAAACUUUUAAGAUUCCCCAUCAUAUCGAAUUUUGUGACAUGUAUGAAGCAUUAAAUAUAGAUAAAAAUUAAAAUUAAUUACACAGUUUACCUGUAAAUCGCGAGAUGAAUCUUUUGAUCCUAGUUAGUCUAUAAUUAAAUAAUAAUUAUCAAAUAAAACCGAAAGUGCUACAGUAGCGAAACCCAAAAAUUUUCGUGACCUAAAAAUAAGUGGGAAAUCUGUAAUUAAUCAUUAUACCUUGGGAGGUCGCAUCCGUGCUGCCAUCUCCAGUGCUGGUACAUGACAUCCUUCAGCCUCCAAAAAUUUUCAAGAUUCUUCAUCACAUCAAAUCUUGCGGCAUAUGCAUGGUAUAUUAAAUAUACAUAAAAACAAAAACUAAUUACACAGUAUAUCUGUAAAUCGCGAGACGAAUCUUUUAAGCCUAGUUACUCUAUGAUUGGACAAUAUUUGUCAAAUAAAAACGAAAGUGCUACAAUGUCGAAAUCCAAAUUUUUUUGCUAACAGAACAAGGCCUUCCUUUCAUACUUGUCACAGGCCACCUCGGAGAAGAUGAAGGUGCACUUGGGCCUUUGAAGGGUCAAGAUGGCGGACUAGAGGAGGGGUGAAUAGUCCUUUCUAAAAAUUAUUACGCCAGCUAACCGAAACAAAUGCGGAACUAAAACUAUCGGUCUAGCCAAGACUACACCCCUCUAUCUAAGUUCUCUAGCACCUUGAAAAGAUUCUAAACAAGCAAGCAAGGUGCUACCUUAGCAAAAGCUCACCUAACCAAUGAGCAAGGUCACACAAACCUAUGUCACUAGUACUUUGCAAACCGUGAAAGGCUCCUACACAAACUAGUGAGGCAAAGCGCACAAAGCCUAAGCUCACUAGCAAGCUCAAUAACAAGGCAACCAAUGCCAAAUUAGAGAGCGCAAAUUACUUAGCUACACAAACUAAGCAAUGUGACUAACAAGGUUACACAAACCAAAUUAGUCACGCAAGGGAACUACUUCUAGCUACACAAGCAAGAAGGUAACUAGCAAGCUACACAAGCUAACUAAUUACAAGAGCAACUACACAAGCACAAGUAUAUGAAUGUAAGAAUAAGCUUGUGUUAGGGACAUGAAAACCAACGGGAAGAACAAUGUUGACACGAUGAUUUUCUCCCGAGGUUCACUUGGUUGCCACCAAGCUACGUCCCCGUUGAGACAAGCUCCAAGGUUGCCGCCGGUCCUCUUGCUAGUGGUGACCCACAAGUCACACUCUCCCACGUGGAGUGAUUACCACAAGCUCUAGCACUUGACCCGGCCUAAACACUUGUCGCUCUUCACGUCUCGCUCAACUAGAGUUGCUCUUCGCGAUCCCCGCGGGGUGAGCACCGUACCCCUCACAAUCUCUUCUCCGGAGCACCGCACAAUCUCCUUGCGUGCUUCGACGGAGUCACAAGCCACCAAGCCGUCUAGGAGGUGGCAACCUCCAAGAGUAACAAGCACCACUGGCUUGCAACACGAACAUCUAGUGCCACUCGAUGCAAUCUCUCAAUGCAACGCACUAGAAUCGCUCACGCACACAAUCGGAUGAUCACUAUCAAGUAUAUGUGAGUUAGAGGCUUCACUAGCACUCCCCAAGCAUGGACACUAAGUCCCAAAGGUGCUCAACACUUGCCAAGGCCGGCCACCACUUCUAUUUAUAGCUCCAAAGGCUAAACUAGUUGUUGCCCCUUCACUGGCAAAACACGAGGGCACCGGACGCUUACAGAGAGCCACCGGACGCUCAACUCCCAGCGUCCGGUGCUCAGGCGUCAGCCACGUGUCACUAGCCGUUUGAACACGACCGUUGCCGUCAACGGCUACUGUGCACGCGCGCCUGCACAGCACCACCAGACGCUCUACUGCGUCACACCGGACGCGUCCGGUGCACACCGGACCCGUGCGCAGAGAGCUCCGCAAACUUGCAGGAUCACCGGACGCAAGCCACCGGACGCACCCUGAGUGUCCGGUGCUCUUGAGUCAGAAACACCUCGCACGCACUCGCUGACGUCACGCACUACCGGACGCUCGAAGAGUAACCGCCCAGCGUCCGGUGCCAGCGUCCGGUGCGCUCUGCACACCUGAGCCAGACUGACACCACACCGGACGCUCUGGACCAGCGUUCGGUGCUGCCAACACCAGCGUCCGGUGAGUGCCGCAACUUCUCCAAAAUUCCCACCGACGCAAUAGAAAAUAUGCACUUAAUUUUCUCAAAAGCGUCGAAUCCCACACCCCUCUCAACCCUAGGAACUCCACCUCCUUUGCAAAUGUGCCAACACCACCAAGUGUACACCACCAUGUGCAAGUGUGUUAGCAUUUUCACAAACACUUUUCCAAAGGAGUUAGCCUCUCAAACUUGCCACGCCACUCGAUCCUAACACGUAUGCAAAGUUAGGUCACUCAAGUGGCACUAGAUGACCGAUAUGCAAACAAGUUUGCUCCUCUUGACAGUAAACUUCUCUACUCACCUAUGACCGGUGAAAUGGAAAAACCCUAGGUUAUACCUUUGCCUUGCGCUUUCCAUUCCAUCUCCUCCGAUGUUGAUGCAACACAUGCACCAAUCAAUCACCAAAUGAUAUGAUCUACUUCAUAUCACCAUGUGACCAUAUUGGUUCAUCGAUCUUGACCUCACUUGCUCUUCACCAUUGCCUUGGUCUAUCGGCGCCAAGUCUUGCUCAAGCUUCACCGUCACACGCGGUCUCUCGCUUCAAAGCCUCCGACUUGCCCUUCACUCUUGCAACCGGUCCAUCGAGCCAAGCCUCAUCUUGAUCUUCUCCACCUUGGGCACAUGACUCCAUGUCGUGUCUCAUAUGCAAUAAGCUCCUCCAUUAUCACAUAAUCACCUGUGAAUUAAUCUCCUGUGUAUCUCACAUAAACACUAUUAGUCCACCUAAGUUGUCACUCAAUUACCAAAACCAAACAAGGACCUUUCAGCCUUGUUUACUUUGCAAAAAUUUUUAGUUUAGGCCACUGUAGCAUUUUCGUUUGUUUGUGGUAAAUAUUGUCCAAUUAUAGACUAACUAGUCUCAAAAGAUUCAUCUCACGAUUUAUAGAUAAACUGUGUAAUUAGUUUUUGUUUUUGAUUAUAUUUAACGCUUCAUACAUGUGCCGCAAGAUUCGAUGUGACGAGAAAUUUUGAAAAGUUUUUAGUUUUUUUGGGUGAAAUAAGGCCCAAGCCCGUUGUACAAUGCCCGGGAGACGUUGUCGUACACCCACCGCUCACUCAUCAUUGAUGUGUCUGGCCAUACCCUGUCAUGAUGGGAGGCGGGGUACGCCUAACCCGCCAUGAUCCAUGGCGGGGUACACAUCAGCAACCCCUGGUGCUGUAUGCCACGUGGUAGCUGUACCCCGCCGCCAUGCAUGGUGGGAUACAGUUCAUUUGUUCCACCAUGCAUGGUGGCGGGGCCAAACGGGUUAGUGUUAAAAAUAUUUUCGAAACCAAGUCAAAUUUGAAAUAUGUUUUGAAUUUAGGCAAAAAAUAAAAAAAUUCCCUGAUGGAGAGGGUCCAUCCGUGGUGACCUGAGCACCUGCGAGAGAGAGAGAGAGAGAGAGAGAGAGAGUCUGUGUGUCCAUGGCCGAUGGCAGGGGUCCAUCUACCAAUCUGCGGGGCCUGGGUACCUUAGAGAGAGCGAGGCUCCGACGAUGCCAAUGGCUCAAGGUUGGGUCCAUCUGUGGCGACCUGGGCACUUCGAGAGACACGGCUGGUGUCUGCGUGCUUAGAAUAGGAAAAAAAAAUGGUGAGAACCAUCCCUACAUAAACAUGGUGACGAUGUGUGGCUGACAUGUUGUCUAUAAGGUAUCUGAUUUACCAUCAUAUGUUAAAAAUAGUAUCGCGCGCGUUAUGGUAGAAAUGGUCCUCACUAAUUUUUUUUAACCCCUAAAAAUUGGUUGCCGUGCUCAGUUUUUGCAUUACCCGAUCGAUCAAAAUUGAAUCGGGACUAGAGAAAAGCAGAUGACGUGGCAAAAUGAGGUGCCGGGGGGAUCAUGGGGCAAAAUUCGUAUAGUACUAAGAGGAGAGAUGAGUCGACCACUGAUUCUCGCUGAGAUCCUUGCUUUUGUACGUCUUUGUCGAUUCUUGAUCAUGUGACUAACUCUGCGCUGAAGCGAAACGUUGGCCGCCCAUCAUCGUCCGUGAAGAUGCCAGGCCCUCAUGUAUCCGCGAUUCGGGAUUUGAAAGAGACAUGAAUCCAGUCAGCAAAGCAUUACGGUGACAGCAGGACAACACUUGGGCAGAACAGAAAGAGACCAACACCACCAAGACAAUUGUGAUUAACCGUGCAUUUUAUUGUUUCAUCAAUUCCAUCUUCUCUUAUUCGUUCUGGCAGCAGGACCCCACGAGUGGCCCCCACGUGAAGAGCACACAUAUGGCAUGGCGCGGUGGUGGCAGGUGGUGCUAUGAACACGACACACUAAUAACGAGACGAGAGAAAUUAAAGCUACACGAUCGAAGGGAAUUCAUUCAUUCAACAACAAGGCAAAGGAAAGUCCCAAAUUAAAGAAACCCCGUCCGUCCGUCCCAGAUAAAGACGCUGCUUGCUGCUGGCGUCGAUCGAUCACUCGAUCAGGCGUCCACGACCUCGUCGUCCUUGGACGCAAUCACGAACUCCUCGCGCAACGCCGGCGACACCUUGGGGAUGGUCCCGUCCACGGCGUUGGGCCUUCCCAGCGCCUUCAGCGCCAGGUGCGCCGCCUUCUGGCCGGAGAUCAUCAUGGCGCCGAACGUCGGGCCCUGCAACCAAAUCAUGCAUGCAUAUCAAUUCCUGUUUCUUCAGUGAUGAGUAACGCAAUAUAUAUAUAAAACAGGCCGGAGUAUCCGUCACUGACCAUCCUCGGCGCGCCGUCAAUCUCGGCGACCUCCAUUCCGGUGACGAUCAUGCCUGGCACGACCUCGCGCGUGAGGCGCACGAUGGCGUCCUCAGCGGCGUUCAUGUCGAGCGCCUUCAUCCCUGGCACGGCGGCGAUCAUGCCGAUGUCCUGGAGCCUCUUGACUCCCGUGGCCCCGAACGGCCCGUCGUGGCCGCAGGAGCUGACCACCACCUUGGCCUCCAUCACGUUGGGGUCCAUGCACGACUGCGUGUCGUGGUUCAUGGACACGAGCGCCCAGUUGGUGACCACGCCGCCGACGCGCCCUCCCUUGACGAUGAGGUCCUCGACGGCGACGGCGUUGAAGAGCUUCACGUUGGGCCGCGCCAGGACGGCGCUCAUGACGGUGGAGGUGAAGAGCGCGGCGUGCUUGACCACCACGUAGUCGUCGGCGGCCUCGUCGUAGGCGACGCCGAGCUCGUCGAGGAACAGGUGCGCCGGCUUGCGCACCACCAUGGCCGAGAACAGCUGCCCGCCCAGCCACGCGCCGCCGCCCGGGGACACCGACUGCUCCACGAUGGCGACGCGCACCGUGGGGUCCUUGGAGAGCUCGUACGCGCAGGAGAGGCCCGCGGACCCGGCGCCCACGAUCACCACGUCGGUGUCGGCGUGGGUGAUCAUGUCCGUCAUGUAGCGGCGGGUCAUCUCGCGGGAGACGAUCGACUCCUUGAUGGGGCUGAACUUGAAGGACGUCAGGUCGUAGGGAGGGUUGGAGGAGGAGAUGGACGCGGAGAUGGCGGCCGUGCGUGGGGCGCCGCCGGUGGACACGACGACGGACGACGGGGCGCGCGUGGCAGACGGGAGACGGGAGCCAGCGAAGGAGGACUUGAGGAGGCUAGACGCCGCGGUGGUGGCCAUGGCUAGCAAGCUCUUGUUGGUUUCUUGCUGCAGCAG
rnacentral:lncRNA from 1 species